rnacentral:rRNA from 1 species
GAGUAACACGUGGAUAACCUACCUAUAAGACUGGGAUAACUUCGGGAAACCGGAGCUAAUACCGGAUAAUAUUUUGAACCGCAUGGUUCAAAAGUGAAAGACGGUCUUGCUGUCACUUAUAGAUGGAUCCGCGCUGCAUUAGCUAGUUGGUAAGGUAACGGCUUACCAAGGCAACGAUGCAUAGCCGACCUGAGAGGGUGAUCGGCCACACUGGAACUGAGACACGGUCCAGACUCCUACGGGAGGCAGCAGUAGGGAAUCUUCCGCAAUGGGCGAAAGCCUGACGGAGCAACGCCGCGUGAGUGAUGAAGGUCUUCGGAUCGUAAAACUCUGUUAUUAGGGAAGAACAUAUGUGUAAGUAACUGUGCACAUCUUGACGGUACCUAAUCAGAAAGCCACGGCUAACUACGUGCCAGCAGCCGCGG